CACCGAGUUGAUUAGAAGGUCACGGAUCCAUCCGUUGCUUCAGGCAAAAGAGUAUCUCCGUCUUCCAUUCCAAAUGAGGUGUCAUUUUCCUUAACCUGCAGACACUUUUCCCAAGUCACUUCACCCUCUGUUGAGCACAUAAUCCCACCCCACGCCCGAGUGGGACAGCUCCUGAGAGCACGUACCUCGCAUGCCUGACGUGGGACAGGAGCAUCAGGAGGUUAGCCAGGCGCAUGGAUUGCUGCUGGGAGGAGAUGCCGCUCUUGGCGAUCACCCAGACCAAAGCGUCGGUCACGGCGUUCAGCAAGUGGGCCAGCUUCUGGCUGCUGUCAGCAUCCUGGGUCGCUGUGACCAGAGGGUACAUAUCUGGACAAAGAAUAAAAGCCACAAGUCAUUGCUCUGAGCAAAGGAGCGGAAGUCAUAUGCUCAGCUGUUGUGUGUGCCUGCUCCGAGGUAAUCUGGGUGCUUUGACAGCUGCAUGUGUGGCAAGACCUUAUAAGCAUGGUCUUACCUCCCCAGGGGCUCUUCCCUGACAGCCAGUCCCAUCACAGAGCUAGAAGAGAAGCCUGGCCUAAUGCAGACAGACUAAAUUGCUACUUGAAGUGCCCACCAGACCCAUAAUUGUGGCCUUGCCAUGGCAAGUAUAUCUAGUCUCCUGAAACCAUUCCAUGAUGUUUCUCAUCUGCGGCAACAGAUACAGAGAUGGUCAGAAGGUGAGAUUAAUUCUACUUUUACCCCAUGGAGGGCUCCCCAUCUAAAGGGAGUUUAAUAAACAAAGGAAUGGCCAAUAUGAUGAAGCCUCCUCUGCCACCUCCUUGUGUGUACCACACGCCUCGGACAGCCAUGGCAAGGCCCCUGCUGCCACCUCUACAUUCUCACUUGAGUGGCACCUGGCUGGGGCAGGAAGACCACUGAUUUGGAGUCAGAUGGACCUACUUCCUAGCCACCAUCUGGAGCUCUCUGAGCCUCAGUUCCUCACUGAGCAAUGCAUGCAGGAACACAUCUGCUUAGGUCCCCACAACCAUGCCCUGGGUAGGCUGCCUCCCCGAUCCUGCCCUGCCCUGUGUUUAACUCCCCUCCAACUCUAGGAUUGAGACACUGUGGCAUCCCAGUGGCAGCAAAGUAACAGCUCAGGUAAAUCUCCUCCCC